AUUGAACGCUGGCGGCAGGCCUAACACAUGCAAGUCGAGCGAGCGGCGGACGGGUGAGUAAUGUAUGGGGACUGCCCGAUAGAGGGGGAUAACUACUGGAAACGGUGGCUAAUACCGCAUACUAUCGGAUAACCCAUAUGGGAUUAGCUAGGAGGUGGGGUAAAGGCUCACCUAGGCGACGAUCUCUAGCUGGUCUGAGAGGCUGAUAAGCCAAACUGGGAAGGAGACCAGGCCCAGACUCCGACGGCGGCAGCAGUUGGGAAUAUUGCACAAUGGGCGCAAGCCCGAUGCAGCCAUGCCGCGUGUAUUAAGAAGGUCUUACGGUUGUAAAGGACUUUCCGCGGGGAGGCGUUACCCGCAGAAGUAGCACCGGCUAACUCCGUGCCAGCAGCCGCGGUAAUUC
rnacentral:rRNA from 1 species